UUUAUGAUAUAAAAUACUAAAAAAUAACAAUAGCACUUUUAUAAUAAAUUUCAAAUAAUUAGAGUAUAUAUAUAUAUAUAUGAAUUUUAUUAUAUAAAUACAGUGUUUAUUAAAACCAUUAUCGUGAAGCUUACGUGUUGUGUUAUUCAUUCAAAUUUCGUAAAAAUGUGGUUUUAUUUUUUAUUUAUUAUUCUUACAACAUUUGAUUUUGCGAUGGCUUCAUCGGGUUUUGAUUUUGGAGAUACUAUAGCAUUGAUUCUUGGAUUAAUUAUUGGAAUCAUUGGAUUUUUUGCCUGCAUGGGUACUUAUGCACGUCAUCGAAGUCGUAUGGAAACAAUGACAUAAAAAUAAGUACUCUAAAAUUCAAAAAAUAGCUAUUCAAUGUUUAUAAAAUUAAAGUAAUAAAUGAUAAACAAAUCCUUUUUGAUAAUAAAAAUAAUUUUGAAUUACAUUUAUGAUAUAUAAUAAGUUAUUUUUAUGUAUUAUAUUAUUGUAAUAUAAUUAUUAAAUAAAUUUUUAUAAUAAUAAUGAUACAUAAAUAUGUAUCAGAACAUUUAUUAAAAAUAUUAUAUUAUAUCAUUAAAAAUAUAUUAUUUUAAAAAUUUUUUUUAAAUUUUUAUAUGUAACAAGUGAUAUAAAUGUAUUUAACAAUAUACAUGUAAAAAGAUUGUAAUAUUUUAAAAUGAUUAUAUAAUAUAGAAAAAUAUUAUUUAUAGUACAUGCAAUACUAAUUAAAAAAAUUAUGUAUUGUUGUCUACAUAAUAUAUUCAUAAAUUUCACAAAUAUACAAUGUUAAUUAACAUCAUAAACUA